ensembl:lncRNA novel transcript
UAAAGAGAUAGUCAUUACAUGGACAUCUGGAGAAAAAAACAGCACAUGGAAGUAUCAAGUGUUCUGGGGCCGCCCAGGCAGAGGGAAACAAGAGCUAGACUACCUGCUCGUGAUCCCAGGAGGCUAAUGGAACAGUGAUGUAUCGCGGUUCCUGCCUCGUGAAUUUGGAAGCAGGAUUCUGCUCCUAGACAUCUUCUCCUAUGGAUUUCUCCUGGGCAAGAAUGGCAUCUCGGUGCAGGACCCGCAGCACUUUCUCUGGCUCCGCAGACCCGUAAUGAGCCUCCAGAACCUCAGGCUUGGUUUUCUCUGUCUUCAGCAUGUGGAUCACAUCUUCUCUGGCCUGUAAUAGAAAGUGCAGCAAGAUCAGACGACUGACAAUGUAAAUCGCAUACUGGGCUCAAAAAAUCAACAGAGAGCUUAUUGAAUACAUCCCCAUCUUGUCAGGGC